GCGCUGCUAUCAUGCAGUCGAGCGAUGAUGAGGAGCUUGCUCCUCUGAUUUAGCGGCGGACGGGUGAGUAACACGUGGGUAAUCUGCCUGUAAGACGGGGAUAACUCCGGGAAACCGGAGCUAAUACCGGAUAACAAGAGAAGAAGCAUUUCUUCUUUUUGAAAGUCGGUUUCGGCUGACACUUACAGAUGAGCCCGCGGCGCAUUAGCUAGUUGGUGAGGUAACGGCUCACCAAGGCGACGAUGCGUAGCCGACCUGAGAGGGUGAUCGGCCACACUGGGACUGAGACACGGCCCAGACUCCUACGGGAGGCAGCAGUAGGGAAUCUUCGGCAAUGGGCGAAAGCCUGACCGAGCAACGCCGCGUGAGCGAUGAAGGCCUUCGGGUCGUAAAGCUCUGUUGUUAGAGAAGAACAAGUACGAGAGUAACUGCUCGUACCUUGACGGUACCUAACCAGAAAGCCACGGCUAACUACGUGCCAGCAGCCGCGGUAAUACGUAGGUGGCAAGCGUUAUCCGGAAUUAUUGGGCGUAAAGCGCGCGCAGGCGGUCUCUUAAGUCUGAUGUGAAAGCCCACGGCUCAACCGUGGAGGGUCAUUGGAAACUGGGAGACUUGAGUGUAGGAGAGAAAAGUGGAAUUCCACGUGUAGCGGUGAAAUGCGUAGAGAUGUGGAGGAACACCAGUGGCGAAGGCGGCUUUUUGGCCUGUAACUGACGCUGAGGCGCGAAAGCGUGGGGAGCAAACAGGAUUAGAUACCCUGGUAGUCCACGCCGUAAACGAUGAGUGCUAGGUGUUGGGGGGUUCCACCCUCAGUGCUGAAGUUAACACAUUAAGCACUCCGCCUGGGGAG
rnacentral:rRNA from 1 species